CAGCAGCCGCGGGAAUACGAGGGGAGCUAGCGUUGUUCGGAAUUACUGGGCGUAAAGCGCGCGUAGGCGGCUUUUUAAGUCAGAGGUGAAAGCCCGGGGCUCAACCCCGGAAUUGCCUUUGAAACUGGAAAGCUAGAAUCUUGGAGAGGUCAGUGGAAUUCCGAGUGUAGAGGUGAAAUUCGUAGAUAUUCGGAAGAACACCAGUGGCGAAGGCGACUGACUGGACAAGUAUUGACGCUGAGGUGCGAAAGCGUGGGGAGCAAACAGGAUUAGAUACCCGCGUAGUCCCUGUCUCUUAUAC
rnacentral:rRNA from 1 species